rnacentral:rRNA from 1 species
GACGAACGCUGGCGGCGUGCUUAACACAUGCAAGUCGAACGGAAAGGCCCUGCUUUUGUGGGGUGCUCGAGUGGCGAACGGGUGAGUAACACGUGAGUAACCUGCCCUUGACUUUGGGAUAACUUCAGGAAACUGGGGCUAAUACCGGAUAGGAGCUCCUGCUGCAUGGUGGGGGUUGGAAAGUUUCGGCGGUUGGGGAUGGACUCGCGGCUUAUCAGCUUGUUGGUGGGGUAGUGGCUUACCAAGGCUUUGACGGGUAGCCGGCCUGAGAGAGUGACCGGCCACAUUGGGACUGAGAUACGGCGCAGACUCCUACGGGAGGCAGCAGUGGGGAAUAUUGCACAAUGGGCGGAAGCCUGAUGCAGCAACGCCGCGUGCGGGAUGACGGCCUUCGGGUUGUAAACCGCUUUCGCCUGUGACGAAGCGUGAGUGACGGUAAUGGGUAAAGAAGCACCGGCUAACUACGUG